rnacentral:rRNA from 1 species
CCUACGGUGCGCAGCAGUGGGGAAUAUUGGACAAUGGGCGAAAGCCUGAUCCAGCCAUGCCGCGUGUGUGAAGAAGGCCUUCGGGUUGUAAAGCACUUUCAGUGGGGAAGAAAGCCUUGGGGCUAAUACCCUCGAGGAAGGACAUCACCCACAGAAGAAGCACCGGCUAACUCCUUGCCAGCAGCCGCGGUAAUACGGAGGGGUGCGAGGUUAAUCGGAAUUACUGGGCGUAAAGCGCGCGUAGGCGGUCUGAUAAGCCGGUUGUGAAAGCCCCGGGCUCAACCUGGGAACGGCAUCCGGAACUGUGAGGCUAGAGUGCAGGAGAGGAAGGUAGAAUUCCCGGUGUAGCGGUGAAAUGCGUAGAGAUCGGGAGGAAUACCAGUGGCGAAGGCGGCCUUCUGGACUGACACUGACGCUGAGGUGCGAAAGCGUGGGUAGCAAACAGGAUUAGAUACCCGGGUAGUC